GGUUAAGCGACUAAGCGUACACGGUGGAUGCCCUGGCAGUCAGAGGCGAUGAAGGACGUGCUAAWCUGCGAAAAGCGCCGGCGAGGUGAUAUGAACCUUUGACCCGGCGAUGUCCGAAUGGGGAAACCCAGUGCAAUCCGUUGCACUAUCGUUAACUGAAUACAUAGGUUAACGAGGCGAACCGGGGG
rnacentral:rRNA from 1 species